rnacentral:rRNA from 1 species
UACGUAGAGCGCAAGCGUUAUCCGGAAUUAUUGGGCGUAAAGAGCUCGUAGGCGGUUUGUCGCGUCUGCUGUGAAAGACCGGGGCUCAACUCCGGUUCUGCAGUGGGUACGGGCAGACUAGAGUGUGGUAGGGGAGACUGGAAUUCCUGGUGUAGCGGUGGAAUGCGCAGAUAUCAGGAGGAACACCGAUGGCGAAGGCAGGUCUCUGGGUCAUUACUGACACUGAGAAGCGAAAGCAUGGGGAGCGAACAGG